CGUCGGUUUGGUAAACUUUGUUUAACAUACGGAUUUUAAUUAGUCCAAAGUUGAAAAAAUGUCGAAAUUAAGUGCGUCGCAAUCAAACAUAUUGCAUUGCUUUGAAAUUGAGUAUCCUCGCGGUUACUUCAACGUCAGUCCUGCUGUAUCAAUUAACGUAUAAUUUUAACUAUCAAAGUGCAAAAUAUUAUGUCAAGAAAUAUAAACAAAAUAGCCGACUUAAUUGAACUUUGUGGCCUUUUUUAUGAAAACAUAUUAUUUGUCAGCACGCCAAAGCUGUGACGCUAGCCAAUCACACGGCGCGUAAUUUGUUCUACAUUCCAAGGUUGUGACGCUGGCCAAUCAGUUUUCAUGUACUCUCUUUGAAUCACGAUAUGGCGCGCAAGCAUAUGACCGUUACAUAUUUCGACAUCAUACUGCAGUUGUGUGGACGUGUAGCGUGCAGCCGACAUCAUUUUACUCAAAUAACAGAAGAGUUUACAAGACCUCACAGAUGACGAAACCCCACUCAGCAAUGAUUCAUACAGGAAUUGAGGAGGAGCCAAAGUCAGCAUGGAUUGUCGAACCAGUAUGGAGGAGUUAUGUAUGACUUUCGAAGAUGCUUCAGUUUGAAAUCUUUCGGACAGUACUCGCAGUGCCGUAGCUGGUGCAUGACCAAGUGAUUGAAGACAGUUCAACAAUGAUGGGCAGAGUGGAACUGAAAAAAAGCAGAUGAGGAGACGGACCUUUUCAGUUUCGCAGCGAGGUCUAGUAACUUCGUAAUCGGGCAAGGUGAUGGAUGUUGCUGCUUGUUGAGUUUUUCAUCUCCUGUCAAGUUUGCGCCUGAAAGAAGAGGUGAUGGAGGGACACACUGAGGGCCCAUGCACCUUCACAUUCAGUCGUACCUUUGGACUGUGUUAAAUAUUUCAAUAUUGGAACAGUUGAUUAAUAGUAAUUGUU
rnacentral:lncRNA from 1 species